rnacentral:lncRNA from 1 species
GGUCUUUGUGAUUUUAUUAGAGUUCUCUGGAGAAACAAAACCAGUAGGAUAUAUGAUUUAGAUAAAGGAAUUAUUAUGGAAAUUAACUCAUGUGAUUAUGGAGACUGAGAAGUCCUGUAAUUUGUAAGCUAGAGAACUAGGAAAGAUGGUGGUAUAACUCUUUUUUUUUUUUUUUUUUUUUUUUUGAGACGGAGUUUCACUCUCGUUACCCAGGCUGGAGUGCAAUGGCGCGAUCUCAGCUCAUUACAAACUACAGCCUUGUGAGAGACCCUGAGCCCGAUAUGAAUACUAACAACAACAACAACAACAAAAAACAAAGUAGGGUGAUAUUUUUAAGAUAAUGAGAGACAGUCCAAUCACAGAGCACAGGAAGGAUUAAAUCUAUCUUCUUCCCUUUUUAACCAGAUGAAGACAUCGUAUUUGAGUACAGAUACAGGAUGGUUGGUGGAAUUGAUAGUUGAAAGAUGAGAUAGUUCUAAUCUGAUUGCAUCUCUUUUCUCUGUGAAGUUCAAAGCAAGGUCAUUAGCUGAGAGCUGUGAGGAAAGGGAAGGAAUGUUGGAAAUAUGAGAAGAGCAGAGAUGUGAAUAAUUAUCUUAGAAGUUGGGAAAACACAUUUCCUAGGGAAGUAAGUUGUCUGGCAGUAUUGAGUUCUGUUUUGAGAUCUGUGAUUAUACAUUUGAAAUCAGUCCAGUUAGAGUGGUUCUGUGAUUUUCUUCAGUAACAUUUAACUGUUCGGGUAGAGGCAAAAUUGCACAGUUGGGUUUAACCAGCACAGGAGUUUUACCCAGUGAGGAGCAAGGGAGUUAAUGGAUGUUUGCAAGGGAGCAUUUUAGUGCCAGAUCACGUCAUUUAGGCUGGUUGGGAGAUAAGCUAGGAUAAGAGGGUGGGUGAUAGUUAAGAAAAAUUGUAGAGUGAACAUUAUAUGUCAAGAUUGAUGGUAGAAUGGGGGUUGUAGGAAUAGGUGUGCUAGAGAGUUGGUGUAAGUGUGCUGGACUAUAGGAGAUAAUGGUCAAAGAAAAGGGUGUUUGAAAUUGAGAUGCUG